rnacentral:lncRNA from 1 species
GGGAGACCAUAUUGGUGCUUAUGUGGGCUCCAGGUACCAGAACACCAUGCAGUUAGAUGGAGCACCUAAAGAACGGUUCAAAGUUGCUUAAACACUUCGCUAAGAAGAGAGCAUUGUAAGAAGAAAUUAAAAAAUUGCAGCACCGGAAGUUCAAGUCAAUUCUAUUGGAAGCUGGUCUUUUUUUUUUUCCAGAAGGUUCUGGAUGGAACAGACUGGACUCUUUCAAUAAGGGUUUUAAUAUGCAAUUUAAUUUACAAUAGAAUGUCCUAUAUGACUAGAAAAU